CAGGAAUGGGCAAAUUUAAUUCAGAUGAUCAUAUCUACUACUGUGGGCAAGAAUGCCUUGGAAGAAAUGUAGUAGACCUCAUAGUCAACAAGAAAGGCUGAAAUGUGGUACUUGGAUGCACUCUCAAAAACGACAGAAUGAUCUCUGUUCAUUUCCAAGGCAAACCAUUCAAUAUCACAGUAAUCCAAGUCUAUGCCCCAACCACUUCUGCAGAAGAAGCUGAAGGUGA